rnacentral:rRNA from 1 species
AUUGAACGCUGGCGGCAGGCCUAACACAUGCAAGUCGAGCGAGCGGCGGACGGGUGAGUAAUGUAUGGGGAUCUGCCCGAUAGAGGGGGAUAACUACUGGAAACGGUAGCUAAUACCGCAUACUAUCAGAUGAACCCAUAUGGGAUUAGCUAGUAGGUGUGGUAAAGGCUCACCUAGGCGACGAUCUCUAGCUGGUCUGAGAGGAUGAUCAGCCACACUGGGACUGAGAAACGGCCAAGACUCCUACGGGAGGCAGCAGUGGGGAAUAUUGCACAAUGGGCGAAAGCCGGAUACAGCAAUGCCGCGUGUGUGAAGAAGGCGUUAGGGUUGUAAAGGACUAUCAGCGGGGAGGCGGUACCUGAAGAAGAAGCAACGGCUAACUACGUGCCAGCAGCCGCGGUAAUAC